AGUGAACGCUGGCGGUAGGCCUAACACAUGCAAGUCGAACGGCAGCACAGUAAGAGCUUGCUCUUACGGGUGGCGAGUGGCGGACGGGUGAGGAAUACAUCGGAAUCUACUUUUUCGUGGGGGAUAACGUAGGGAAACUUACGCUAAUACCGCAUACGACCUACGGGUGAAAGCAGGGGAUCUUCGGACCUUGCGCGAUUGAAUGAGCCGAUGUCGGAUUAGCUAGUUGGCGGGGUAAAGGCCCACCAAGGCGACGAUCCGUAGCUGGUCUGAGAGGAUGAUCAGCCACACUGGAACUGAGACACGGUCCAGACUCCUACGGGAGGCAGCAGUGGGGAAUAUUGGACAAUGGGCGCAAGCCUGAUCCAGCCAUACCGCGUGGGUGAAGAAGGCCUUCGGGUUGUAAAGCCCUUUUGUGGGGAAAGAAAAGCAGCAGGUUAAUACCCCGCUGUUCUGACGGUACCCAAAGAAUAAGCACCGGCUAACU
rnacentral:rRNA from 1 species